rnacentral:rRNA from 1 species
AGUGAACGCUGGCGGUAGGCCUAACACAUGCAAGUCGAACGGCAGCACAGUAAGAGCUUGCUCUUACGGGUGGCGAGUGGCGGACGGGUGAGGAAUACAUCGGAAUCUACUUUUUCGUGGGGGAUAACGUAGGGAAACUUACGCUAAUACCGCAUACGACCUACGGGUGAAAGCAGGGGAUCUUCGGACCUUGCGCGAUUGAAUGAGCCGAUGUCGGAUUAGCUAGUUGGCGGGGUAAAGGCCCACCAAGGCGACGAUCCGUAGCUGGUCUGAGAGGAUGAUCAGCCACACUGGAACUGAGACACGGUCCAGACUCCUACGGGAGGCAGCAGUGGGGAAUAUUGGACAAUGGGCGCAAGCCUGAUCCAGCCAUACCGCGUGGGUGAAGAAGGCCUUCGGGUUGCAAAGCCCUUUUGUUGGGAAAGAAAAGCAGCAGGUUAAUACCCCGCUGUUCUGACGGUGCCCAAAGAAUAAGCACCGGCUAACUUCGUG